UGGGGAAUUUUUGGACAAUGGGCGAAAGCCUGAUCCAGCAAUGCCGCGUGUGUGAAGAAGGCCUUCGGGUUGUAAAGCACUUUUGUCCGGAAAGAAAUCCUUGGCUCUAAUACAGUCGGGGGAUGACGGUACCGGAAGAAUAAGCACCGGCUAACUACGUGCCAGCAGCCGCGGUAAUACGUAGGGUGCAAGCGUUAAUCGGAAUUACUGGGCGUAAAGCGUGCGCAGGCGGUUUGCUAAGACCGAUGUGAAAUCCCCGGGCUCAACCUGGGAACUGCAUUGGUGACUGGCAGGCUAGAGUAUGGCAGAGGGGGGUAGAAUUCCACGUGUAGCAGUGAAAUGCGUAGAGAUGUGGAGGAAUACCGAUGGCGAAGGCAGCCCCCUGGGCCAAUACUGACGCUCAUGCACGAAAGCGUGGGGAGCAAAACAGGAUUAGAUACCCUGGUAGUCCACGCCCUAAAACGAUGUCAACUAGUUGUUGGGGAUUCAUUUUCCUUAGUAACGUAGCUAACGCGUGAAGUUGACCGCCUGGGGAGUACGGUCGCAAGAUUAAAACUCAAAUGAAUUGACGGGGUCAUA
rnacentral:rRNA from 1 species